rnacentral:rRNA from 1 species
GACGAACGCUGGCGGCGUGCCUAACACAUGCAAGUCGAGCGGAGAUGUAAUGAAGGUUUACCUGAGAUACAUCUUAGCGGCGGACGGGUGAGUAACGCGUGGGCAACCUACCUUCUACAGGGGGAUAACACAGGGAAACCUGUGCUAAUACCGCAUAACGUACCGAUAGGGCAUCCUGUUGGUACCAAAGGAGUAAUCCGGUAGAAGAUGGGCCCGCGUCCGAUUAGCUAGUUGGUGGGGUAACGGCUCACCAAGGCAACGAUCGGUAGCCGAACUGAGAGGUUGAUCGGCCACAUUGGGACUGAGACACGGCCCAGACUCCUACGGGAGGCAGCAGUGGGGAAUAUUGCGCAAUGGGGGGAACCCUGACGCAGCAACGCCGCGUGAAGGAAGAAGGUCUUCGGAUCGUAAACUUCUUUGAUGAGGGACGAAGGAAGUGACGGUACCUCAAAAACAAGCCACGGCUAACUACGUG